CGUCUGACAUACGUUGCACCAAAUGAUACUGCUCCAACCACCCUCCAAAGACGUGAUGCAGGCAGUGGGCAUCAUGGACUCCUUUAUUUAAGAGGUAAGCUACCAAGAAAGUGAGGGAAGUCCAUCCACGAAAGCCAGUGACAAAGCUGUUUAUGUCCAGGAAGACUCUGAAGCCACAACCUGUCCUGGAAACACCUUUCAAUCCCAGAAAAUUCAGAGUACCAGAAGCAUCUCACAGAGGCUGAAACAAAAUAAAUGUUCAAAAGGCACAUGUUGAAUUAUUGAGAAAACAAGGACCUAAACAGAAAAUGAUAAUAUUCUGUGGAGAGGUGAUGAUGCCAAUAUGAGAAGAUGAAG
ensembl:lncRNA